CUAGCUCUUCCACGAAAUCUGGCAGCACUUCAAUUUUAAGACGCGACAGAGCGAUUUGUACGUUUUUAGUUUUUCGAAAAGAAAAUGGCAUGAAAACCGGCCGAAAAAGUGCAACAAACGAAGCUAAAACCCAAAUUUUCUAAACACACACACAUACAGAAACGGGAAGAGCCAACGAACUCGUGCAGCGACGCCCAAGAAUGAAAGAGAGCAAGGCAACAUGAAAAUUACAGCAACAACAACAACGACUGGCUUGCCGAAGAAGUUGUAAAGACGCAGAAGAAGAAGCAGCAGCCACAACAGUAUUUUUAUUAGCGGGUGUUGUUGUUGUCAUGUAUAUACACACAUCUCCUCUAACUCAACGUUUACGUUCCACCAGCAGCAUACAUAUGUAGAGAAAACGAAUUCCAAAGAGAUCUGACGACGCCCUUGCAGCGGACAACGAAUAUUCUAAUUUAUUAUUGUGAUAGUGUUACUAGUUUUAGUAUUUUUAAGCUUUUAAACA